rnacentral:lncRNA from 1 species
CGGUUUUACAGCAGCCAAGAGGCACCAGGCCUCACUGGAACAGGAUAUCCUGUCCAACAGAGCCAGGAUAGAGCUGGUCAAGAAGGAGGGUUACAGUCUGGUGAGGGCUCAGCAUCCGGGCAGCAUCAAGAUCCAGGAGUUUCUGAGUCAGCUGAAGGUUCUGUGGGACGAGCUGAAGAGAAGACAUGAGAGGAACGGUCUGGUCCUGAAGGUCUCAGAGGAGCUCAACUACAGGGUGGUGCGGAUGCUGCAGUCUCUGGCCAGUCUGGAGGCAUGGUUAGAGGCGGUGGAGCUGUCCAUCAGGCAGGCAUCUCUGGCUGGAGACCCCGAGUCCGUGAGCGUGGCGGAGCAAGAGAGCUGCCAGCUGGAGCAGGAGCUGGAGGCCAGACGUCUGGAGCUGCAGACCCUCAGACAGG